rnacentral:rRNA from 1 species
AACAAACGCUGGCGGCGUGUCUUAAGCAUGCAAGUUGAGCGGCAAGGAGGAGAGAUCCUCCCUAGAGCGGCGGACUGGUGAGUAACGCGUGGGUAAUCUAUCGUAGGCAUGGGGAUAGUCACUAGAAAUAGUGGGUAAUACCGAAUACGUUCCAUGAGGGAGUAUUCAUGGAAGAAAGGGUGCUACGGCACUGGCCUUAGGUGAGCUCGCGUCCCAUUAGCUAGUUGGUGAGGUAAAGGCCCACCAAGGCGAUGAUGGGUAGCCGGCCUGAGAGGGUGUACGGCCACACUGGGACUGAGAUACGGCCCAGACUCCUACGGGAGGCAGCAGCUAAGAAUAUUCCGCAAUGGACGAAAGUCUGACGGAGCGACGCCGCGUGGAUGAAGAAGGCCGAAAGGUUGUAAAGUCUUUUGCUAGGGAGAAUAAGUGAGGAGGGAAUGCCCUCAUGAUGACAGGACUAGCGAAUAAGCCCGGCCAACUACGUGCCAGC